GCGUCGCCCUGGGAGUGACAGCUCAGACAAAGGCCCCCUAAACACCAGCGACAAACAACAUGAGUGACAUCUUGUGGUCACACGAAGCAUGAUUGUCUUCCUGUUAACAAAGGUAAAAGCAGCACGACGUUGUUAUAUACCAGCACAAAAAGUCACAGAGGCAGCAGGUACUGUUUUGGGGGACUGAUGGUUGUGGGUACAAAGUACAGGACUUUGACACCAGAGACCCCAGUUUGCAGCGAUUCUUCAACAACAGUCAACAUUUAUUUUGUUUUGUUGUUCUUUUCUACCAUGAAGUGCUUCGUUCCCUAACCUUUACAGAGUAGUUUCAAUUGCCCCACCUGAACCGAACCUUAACCACUGAGGUGGCAGAUCAGAAAACACAUAUGUGGGUUGUUUUUUAAGGCGCUGACAAACAAAUCGCUUUGAGGAUUUGUUGGCCUGACGGCACGAACACGGCACACUGCCUUGUUCUGGUCACGGCGCCAUACAGAAUAAGCAAUCGAGGAGAAAGUUGGAGGCAACAGGAAGAUGGACUCGAUGGACCUUUAACAGAGCCGCUACGUCAAGAAACUUGACCAAGUCUCAAAGGCUGAAAAAGUUUCAAACGGCCCAGAAAUGGGGUGAAGACACCUGAUGUGGAGCUCGGGUCGGUGUCGGACCUGCCGCGACAGCCGGAGUGGCGCAGCUGGGGGUCUUACCUCGUUGAAUUCGGGGUUGAGGGUUUUUUUCAUCACAGCUGUUUUGUGCUUGGAUUUCUUCUGUAUGUCGGGCUUCAGGUAUCUGACAGGACCAGCAGAGAAGGAGGAAAAAGCACAUUAGGUUACACCAGAAACAAACUUAGCUGCUGAGCGGAGCGCGUCGGGAGCCGUUGAUGCCUCCGGUUCCGGAUUCUGGCUCCAGAUUCUCAGUCAGAAGAAUGAGCCGUUUCUCUCCGUUCGACAUCACUGCAAAGUCAAGACGUCACCUUCGUGCUUUCUCUGCAGGUUUCAAACUGAUUGGGGGAAAAACUUCGACAUCUGUAUGGACAGAUUUCCCUCCUGGGCUAAAAGACAAUAAUAAAGCCA